AGUAACGUACAUGGCGUCGUGUGUAUUUUCCUCCUACAAAAGCCGGGUUUUUUUUCGAAAAUUAGUGAAUGAUUUAGUCUGAAUUAGUGAUUUAUCGAUUCCCUUGUAUUAAUAUAACCAAAAAGUGAUCAAAGUGCAUUGGUGAAAUUAAUAGUUUUUUUCUCAAUUGAAAAAUGUUGCAUGUGCAGUGACAAUAGUGAACAUUAUUUGCCAUUUCCGUGUUAAUCAUGUUUAACUUUUUAUUAUAUUAAAACGCGAUUUUCUUCAAUAUUAUCAUGUUUCGUAUUAAAUACUAGUAAAAAAUCAGUGAUAGUUAACAAUCUGCUCUCGAAAUUUCAUGAAAUAAAAGUGUUCAAUGAAUUCUAAAAAAAAGUGGUCUAUCCCCAAGAUUUCGUGUCAAUGAUGAUUUUGGAGCUGGAGAUUAAUCAAAAGGCUGAAUAAGAAGAAGAAGAAGAAGAAGAAGAAUAAGAAACAAGUUGUAAGUACCAAAAUAGAGGAUCAUUUCAUCUUAAAAUGUAAGUCUUUCGUUUAUUAAUUUUAAUUUAUUGAGCAAUCGAUCCACAUCGAACAGCGACAAUUAAAAUUAAGAAAGAAAAUAAAUAAUCCAAGAGAAGAGAACAUAGAAAAUAUCUAUAAUUAAUUUUUGAAUAAAGACUAUU